UAGACAUUCCAUUACCGAGAAUUGCCUUUUCCAUUGAGAAACAUUUGGUUAGUUGAUGAUUACAAAACGUUUACUUAUAAUUAGUUGGCAUACGAAGAAGGUUCAAGCGUUUGAUCUAGAUGAAAAAUAUUCUUCCAUCUUGAUCUCAAAUGAAUAGCUUGAUAGGUUUGGAAGUUUAAGGUUCCUAAAGCUAUCUAAUGGAACCUUUGUUGGAGAUUUCUCAGAUUGUCUUCCAAAGAUAAGAUGGAUCACUUGGCAUCCUCCUCCUCAAAAUUUUUGCAGCUGUCGCUACGCGUUCAACAGAUAUAGUUGUUCUUGAAUUUUCUGACAAUCACUUUAUAGAUGAUUCGGAGAUGUGGAGCUUAAUCAAGAACACCGUCUGUAGGUGGCAACCAGAUUAAAGGUUCAAGCUCUCGAAAAGUGUUUCGGCAUUUCCAGAACUCCAGACUUCUCUAAGCGCUCGAUGUUAGAGAGGUUGACUC